GACGAACGCUGGCGGCGUGCUUAACACAUGCAAGUCGAACGGAAAGGCCCUGCUUUUGUGGGGUGCUCGAGUGGCGAACGGGUGAGUAACACGUGAGUAACCUGCCCUUGACUUUGGGAUAACUUCAGGAAACUGGGGCUAAUACCGGAUAGGAGCUCCUGCUGCAUGGUGGGGGUUGGAAAGUUUCGGCGGUUGGGGAUGGACUCGCGGCUUAUCAGCUUGUUGGUGGGGUAGUGGCUUACCAAGGCUUUGACGGGUAGCCGGCCUGAGAGGGUGACCGGCCACAUUGGGACUGAGAUACGGCACAGACUCAUACGGGAGGCAGCAGUGGGGAAUAUUGCAAAAUGGGCGGAAGCCUGAUGCAGAAACGCCGCGUGCGGGAUGACGGCCUUCGGGUUGUAAACCGCUUUCGCCUGUGACGAAGCGUGAGUGACGGUAAUGGGUAAAGAAGCACCGGCUAACUACGUG
rnacentral:rRNA from 1 species